rnacentral:rRNA from 1 species
UACGGAGGGGGCUAGCGUUGUUCGGAAUUACUGGGCGUAAAGCGCACGUAGGCGGCUUUGUAAGUUAGAGGUGAAAGCCCAGGGCUCAACCCUGGAAUUGCCUUUAAGACUGCAUCGCUUGAACAUCGGAGAGGUAAGUGGAAUUCCGAGUGUAGAGGUGAAAUUCGUAGAUAUUCGGAAGAACACCAGUGGCGAAGGCGACUUACUGGCUCAUUACUGACGCUGAGGCUCGAAAGCGUGGGGAGCAAACAGG